ACUGGACACAGCAGUACAUUUGUACACACCAUUGGUCACUGGAAAGAUAGUAUGAUUUGUCAAACUUGAUCAGGUCAAUCAAGACUAGUAUCCCCCUAUUAGCAAUAGCCAAUACAUGUUGCUUCAGAGUGUGGCCUUGGGGGACUGCCCAUCACAGACAUGGUGAGAUGAGAUAGGUCACCAAGGAAUUGUCUCAGGAGACUGAAGAGCCCAUUAUCGAGGGGCGGCACGUCUAACAGGCAGAGGAAGGCUGAGCCUGCCCAAAGCGCCGCAUGGCCCUGCCCACGCUCCGUCCAGAGGCCCCCUCUCCUCUGAGUGCUAGUUGGCUCCAACCCAGAGACCAGCUGCCUCCCUGUUUCUCCUACCCCAAAUUUUUCCACCUAAAACCCUGGAGAAAUAUUCCUCUUCUCCAGAGAUCUUAUGAUGCCCUCCUCCUCCUCCCAGAAGUAUUCUACCUCCUCCAUCCACACCCGUCAUCCAAGAGAUUUUCCAUCUUUUUCUAUUUUUUUCCCCUAUAGACAAGGGAAAAGAAAAUGAUACCUCAAGACUUUUCUUUGCUAAAGGAAAUUUCCUCAGAUACCCAUAAUUUUUGAAGGAUUUAUGAAACUUCAUGAGAAGGCAGACAUAAUCUAAUGAGACCUUAUUCAUCUGGAGAGAAUUUUUUUUAGAGAUUGUGGCUGAAAAUGGCUGACAAUGGAAAACCACCAAAAUCAGGAUACAAUAAAAAUAUACAGAAAAACAGAAAAAACAUGCAUUAAUUGGUUUACCUUUAUGUAUUCUGUUCUUCCAACAAAUUCGUGUGAAUAAAUUGAAUUGUAUAUUG